UUCUCUAAAAAUCAAUAAACUAUUCUUCAGUAAAAAGAAAAGCAAUGACUCUCACUCAUUAAUAGACUGUCAUCUUCACUUUAAGGCACAGAUUACAUAGACUUUUGUUGUUUUUUAAAAAUUCUUCAUAAAUGAAUCCUUUUCUCUGCCCAACAUCCUGUGGUAGGACAUUAGUCCUUAUGGUCAUGAGUUGUUACGGGCAAAAUCCUCCACCAGCAAAAAGAUCAU